rnacentral:rRNA from 1 species
CCUACGGGAGGCAGCAGUGAGGAAUAUUGGUCAAUGGCCGGGAGGCUGAACCAGCCAAGUCGCGUGAGGGAAGACGGCCCUACGGGUUGUAAACCUCUUUUGUCAGGGAGCAAGGUGCAGGUCGGGACCUGCUGUGAGAGUACCUGAAGAAAAAGCAUCGGCUAACUCCGUGCCAGCAGCUGCGGUAAUACGGAGGAUGCGAGCGUUAUCCGGAUUUAUUGGGUUUAAAGGGUGCGCAGGCGGAGGCACAAGUCAGCGGUAAAAUCGCGGGGCUCAACCCCGCUCCGCCGUUGAAACUGUGGCCCUUGAGUGCGCGAAGGGUAGGCGGAAUGCGUGGUGUAGCGGUGAAAUGCAUAUAUAUCACGCAGAACUCCGACCGCGAAGGCAGCCUACCGGCGCGCAACUGACGCUCAUGCACGAAAGCGUGGGUAUCGAACAGGAUUAGAUACCCUUGUAGUC